CCCAGCGAACUGAAACAUCUUANAUAGCUGGAGGAAAAGAAAUCAAAAGAGAUUCCCAAAGUAGCGGUGAGCGAAAUGGGACCAGCCUAAACCAGCAGUUAAAACUGGUGGGGUAGUGGGACAGCAAAAGGGAACGAGAAAGUUAGACGAAGCAGCUGAAAACUGCACCAGAGAAGGUGAAAGUCCUGUAGUCGAAAACGGACUCGUCCUAGCUGACUCCCGAGUAGCACGGGACACGUGGAAUCCCGUGUGAAUCAGCGAGGACCAUCUCGUAAGGCUAAAUACUACUGCGUGACCGAUAGUGGAACAGUACCGUGAGGGAAAGGUGAAAAGAACCCCGUGAGGGGAGUGAAAGAGAACAUGAAACCGUCAGCUUACAAGCAGUGGGAGGACGAUUAAACGUCUGACCGCGUGCCUGUUGAAGAAUGAGCCGGCGAGUUGUAAGUACUGGUAGGUAAAAGCCAGAAAGGCCUUUGCCAAAGCGAAAGCGAGUCUGAAAAGGGCGAAAAUCAGUAUUUACAGACCCGAAACCGGGUGAUCUAACCAUGUCCAGGAUGAAGCUUGGGUAACACCAAGUGGAGGUCCGCACCGACCGAUGUUGAAAAAUCGGCGGAUGAGGUGUGGUUAGGGGUGAAAUGCCAAUCGAACUCGGAGCUUGCUGGUUCUCCCCGAAAUGUGU
rnacentral:rRNA from 1 species